ACGGAGGGCAAGAAGCAGGCGCGUGGACUGGCGGUUCAUUUCAGCAUCAAAACUAGGAAAAGUAAUUAGGAAUGGCUGUGGAGGAACUUCAGUGCAUAAUAAAAAGAUGUCAAAUCCUAGAAGAGCAUGAUUUUAAAGAAGAAGAUUUUGGCCUCUUUCAGCUAGCAGGCCAAAGAUGCAUUGAAGAUGGGUAUAUAAACCAGCUGCUAGAGAUUAUUCAAGAUGAAAAGAACAAGGUCCCUCAUUGGACCCGGAGUUCAUACAUUCAUCUAGGCUGGGUGGCCAACAAACUCCAAGGACCUGCCUGUCUGUGUUUAUAAGUUUUCUUAAUUUUUCUCAGUUGCAUUAUCGAAGGAUAACUUUUGACAAUACUGUUGCUCUGAUACUAAGAUUAAUUACUAAUAUUUAAGUUCAUGCCAGACGCUUCCUGGUAUGUUACCUUAUUUAGCCUCUCCAGCGUCUCCUAAGAUAGGCACUGCUAUUAACUUCAUUUUGUAAUACCUGCAACUCUAAGCAACUUGAGAGACUGAGGUGGGGGGACAACAAGGUCAAGACCACCUGGGCAAUAUGAUGGUGCUCUUAUUUCAAGAGAAACAAAUAAAGCAAAUCAAUCGCUUUAU
rnacentral:lncRNA from 1 species